rnacentral:rRNA from 1 species
UUUAGUCUUUUCAGAGGAACCUGUCCCGUAAUCGAUAAUCCACGUUAAACCUUACUUAUUUUUGUUAACAGCUUGUAUACCGCCGUCGUCAGAAUGUCCUAAGAAGGGUUUAAUUUUCUUGAAUUUUUAUUAAAAAUGAUGUCAGGUCAAGGUGUAGCUUACGAAUAAGUGGAGAUGGGUUACAAUAAAUUUAUUUAUAACGGAUAAGGAUUUGCAAUAAUUCUUUGAAGGUGGAUUUGAUGGUAAUUAACUUAAUUAAAUUAAUUUGAUUUUAGCUCUAAAACAUGCACACAUCGCCCGUCGCUCUCGUUAAUUAAGGCGAGAUAAGUCGUAACAUAGUAG